UACGGAGGGGGCUAGCGUUGUUCGGAAUUACUGGGCGUAAAGCGCACGUAGGCGGCGAUUUAAGUCAGAGGUGAAAGCCCGGGGCUCAACCCCGGAAUAGCCUUUGAGACUGGAUUGCUAGAAUCUUGGAGAGGCGGGUGGAAUUCCGAGUGUAGAGGUGAAAUUCGUAGAUAUCAGGAGGAACACCCGUGGCGAAAGCGGCUCUCUGGGACGGUACUGACGCUGAGACGGCGAAAGCGUGGGGAGCAAACAGG
rnacentral:rRNA from 1 species